GGCCAUUCUGUGGUUAUAGAAUAGUUUUGAGAAAACAGCCAUUGAUCCCUUUGCCCAGUCACACUGAUACAUUGUGGGUCUGGUUUCUAUAGGUAGCCACUAACAGGGUGAUCACAACAGGAAGGAUGUUUGCCCAGGGACGGAAAUCAGUGCUAACAACUUCAGAGAGCUCUCCAUCCUCCUGAUCAAAGACUGAGCCAUGAACCAUCAUCCUAUCUCCUGCUGUCUGCUGGUGCACCAAUGGGCACCUGCCUGGAAGAAGUGACUGCACAGUACGACCCCGCACUGCUGCUACUGCAGGGAGCCAUGGUUAAAACUGGAAAGACAUUUAUGUGAAC
ensembl:lncRNA